AGCAGCCGCGGUAAUUCCAGCUCCAAUAGCGUAUAUUAAAGUUGUUGCAGUUAAAAGCUCGUAGUUGAAUUUCGGGGUUAGUAGGUUGGUCAUGCCUCUGGUAUGCACUGGCCUCACUGAUUCCUCCUUCCUGAUGAGCCGUAAUGCCAUUAAUUUGGUGUUGCGGGGAAUUUGGACUGUUACUUUGAAAAAUUAGAGUGUUUAAAGCAAGCUAACGCUUGAAUACAUUAGCAUGGAAUAAUGAAAUAGGACGUUCGAUCUUAUUUGUUGGUUUCUAAGAUUGACGUAAUGAUUAAUAGGGAUAGUUGGGGCAUUAGUAUUCAAUUGUCAGAGGUGAAAUUCUUGGAUUUAUUGAAGACUAACUACCGACGAAAGCA
rnacentral:rRNA from 1 species